rnacentral:rRNA from 1 species
GCAGUCGACGCUUCUUUCCUCCCGAGUGCUUGCACUCAAUUGGAAAGAGGAGUGGCGGACGGGUGAGUAACACGUGGGUAACCUACCCAUCAGAGGGGGAUAACACUUGGAAACAGGUGCUAAUACCGCAUAACAGUUUAUGCCGCAUGGCAUAAGAGUGAAAGGCGCUUUCGGGUGUCGCUGAUGGAUGGACCCGCGGUGCAUUAGCUAGUUGGUGAGGUAACGGCUCACCAAGGCCACGAUGCAUAGCCGACCUGAGAGGGUGAUCGGCCACACUGGGACUGAGACACGGCCCAGACUCCUACGGGAGGCAGCAGUAGGGAAUCUUCGGCAAUGGACGAAAGUCUGACCGAGCAACGCCGCGUGAGUGAAGAAGGUUUUCGGAUCGUAAAACUCUGUUGUUAGAGAAGAACAAGGACGUUAGUAACUGAACGUCCCCUGACGGUAUCUAACCAGAAAGCCACGGCUAACUACGUGCCAGCAGCCGCGGUAAUACGUAGGUGGCAAGCGUUGUCCGGAUUUAUUGGGCGUAAAGCGAGCGCAGGCGGUUUCUUAAGUCUGAUGUGAAAGCCCCCGGCUCAACCGGGGAGGGUCAUUGGAAACUGGGAGACUUGAGUGCAGAAGAGGAGAGUGGAAUUCCAUGUGUAGCGGUGAAAUGCGUAGAUAUAUGGAGGAACACCAGUGGCGAA